rnacentral:rRNA from 1 species
CAGUCGAACGACUCGGACUAUGGCGAGAAGUGGCAAACUGCUCAGUAACACGUAGCUAACCUACCCUCGGGACGGGAACAACCUCGGGAAACUGAGGUUAAUUCUCGAUAGGUGUGGAUUCCUGGAAUGGUGCCACGCCCAAAUGUUAACACACCAUGUUUGUGUACACGCCCAAGGAUGGGGCUGCGGCCGAUCAGGCUGUUGGUGAGGUAACGGCUCACCAAACCUUUGACCGGUACGGGCCGUGAGAGCGGUAGCCCGGAGAUGGACACUGAGACAAGGGUCCAGGACCUACGGGUCGCAGCCGGUACGAAACCUCCACAAUGCACGCAAGUGCGAUGGGGUUACCUCGAGUGCCGUCUGAAGAAGGCGGCUUUUCCAUUGUGUAAUGAGCCGUGGGAAUAAGGGGGGGGCAAGACUGGCGUCAGCCGCCGCGGUAACACCAGCCCCCCGAGUGGUGGGGAUGUUUAUUUGGCCUAAAGCGUCCGUAGCCGGCUAGAUAAAUCUCUCGUUAAAUCCAGCGUCCUAAGCGUUGGGCUGCGAGAGAGACUGUAGAGCUAGAGGGUGGGAGAGGUAAGCGGUAUUUCUGGGGUAGGGGCGAAAUCCUUUGAUCCCAGGAGGACCACCAGUGGCGAAGGCUGCUUACUAGAACACGCCUGACGGUGAGGGACGAAAGCUGGGGUAGCGAAUCGGAUUAGAUACCCGAGUAGUCCCAGCUGCAAACGAUGCAGGCUAGGUGUUGGGUUGGCCACGCGCUAACUCAGUGCCACAGGGAAGCCAUUAAGCCUGCCGCCUGGGGAGUACGGCCGCAGGG